GCCCGUGUAGCCCAAUUGGCAGGAGGCAUCCCGUUCAGGGCGGGAGUAGUGCGCGUUCGAAUCGCGCCACGGGUA
rnacentral:tRNA from 1 species